AGAGAAUUGGCCGAGCGGUUUAAGGCGGCUAGCUUGAGUUUAGUUAUAAAUUUAAAUUAUCAUGGGUUCGAAUCCCAUAUUCUCUG
rnacentral:tRNA from 1 species